rnacentral:rRNA from 1 species
UGACCUCGGAUCAGGUAGGGAUACCCGCUGAACUUAAGCAUAUCAAUAAGCGGAGGAAAAGAANNCANCAGGGAUUACCUCAGUAACGGCGAGUGAAGCGGUAACAGCUCAAAUUUGAAAUCUCCCUUCCAGGCGAGUUGUAAUUUGUAGAAGAUGCUUUGGGUAUGGCCCCGGUCUAAGUCCGUUGGAACACGGCGUCAUAGAGGGUGAGAAUCCCGUAUGUGACUGGGUGCUUUUGCCUAUGUAAAGCUCUUUCGACGUGUCGAGUUGUUUGGGAAUGCAGCUCAAAAUGGGUGGUAUAUUUCAUCUAAAGCUAAAUAUUGGCCAGAGACCGAUAGCGCACAAGUAGAGUGAUCGAAAGAUGAAAAGCACUUUGGAAAGAGAGUUAAACAGUACGUGAAAUUGUUGAAAGGGAAGCGCUUGCAACCAGACUUGCACGCGGUUGAUCAUCCAGGCUUCUGUUUGGUGCACUCGAUCGUGUUCAGGCCAGCAUCGGUUUUGGUGGUUGGAUAAAGGCCUUGGGAAUGUAGCUUCUUUCGGGGAGUGUUAUAGCCCUCGGUGCAAUGCAGCCUACCGGGACCGAGGACCGCGCUUCGGCUAGGAUGCUGGCGUAAUGGUUGUAAGCGACC